CCUACGGGAGGCAGCAGUGAGGAAUAUUGGUCAAUGGCCGGAAGGCUGAACCAGCCAAGCCGCGUGAAGGAAGAAGGAUCUAUGGUUUGUAAACUUCUUUUAUAGGGGAAUAAAGGUAUCCACGUGUGGAUAUCUGAAUGUACUCUAUGAAUAAGCAUCGGCUAACUCCGUGCCAGCAGCCGCGGUAAUACGGAGGAUGCGAGCGUUAUCCGGAUUUAUUGGGUUUAAAGGGUGCGUAGGUGGUUUUGUAAGUUAGCGGUGAAAGUUUGUGGCUCAACUAUAAAAUUGCCGUUGAAACGGGUAGACUUGAGAGUAUAUGAGGUAGGCGGAAUGCGUGGUGUAGCGGUGAAAUGCAUAGAUAUCACGCAGAACUCCGAUUGCGAAGGCAGCUUACUAAGCCAUAACUGACGCUGAAGCACGAAAGCGUGGGGAGCAAACAGGAUUAGAUACCCGGGUAGUC
rnacentral:rRNA from 1 species